UAAAUCUGCUCAGGUAACCGCUUGCAUCCACACAUACACGCGCGCGUUUCUAAAAUCUCACCCUUUUUCGUUUUUUUUUGGAAUCAAUCCGUCGUCUGUCGUCGUUGCUGUCCGUCGAUAAAAAAAAUUUUUUCUAGUUGUUGGGCUUUCUAUCCCUGGCGCUCGCCUCUCGCAUGUGUGUCUGCGCGUGCUUGUGCGGCCGUUUCUCACCCCGUCUUCGACGUGCGCGUGCGUGUUUCUGUGUGUGUGUGCGGGCCCUCACACACCUCCCCUACCCCACUCCACACUCUCUCUACUGCAUGGUUGCUUCCAUCACCACCGCCGUCACCAAUCCCCCUCCCCCUCCAAUUCCUUCAUUAUUGUUGCAUCCUUUUUUGUUUUUCGUAUUUGGUUGGCUAGUUUGCCGUUUCUCCUUGUGCGCUCUCUGUCUGUCGUCGCGCCUGCUGACCCCCCUCCUCCCCCAACACCUCUAAAGCACGUAGUUUUGGUCCUCAAACCCUUCAACACCUCCACGCUCUCCGCUGCGUCUCUACCGCCAUCACGAUUGUGCUCACUCGAUCGCCAAGCCCUGCCCUCGCACUCCCUGUCGUUCGAUCUUCGCAAUGUCAGGCUCGGAGGCGCUGAAUCACACACCGGACCGGUUUAUAUUCUUGCCGUUCCGCCUGGGCGAAAAGGACGUCCCGGACUGGUCGCUGUGCUCGCGGUACAUUGCCACGUACCACUCGAGCAACAACACGACCUCCGUCGAUGACGCCAUCAAAUCCAUGGCGGCGUACCACAACACGAUUGUGAAGACGUGCACCCUCCAUGAGUCGAAGCGGACGCCGAAUGAGAGCUUCAUCAAGCACACACUACUGCGUUACUGCCACCUGGUGGGGCAGGCUCAGGCCCACCUGCCGCUGCACAGCGGGCACGUGAGCAAAAACCUAAAGUUCGUCUGGUGUGACAGCUUCGAUGAAUCAACAAAGUAUGAGAGCACGAAUUCGAACUCGGAGCUGGUGAGCUGCGUGUACAACCUAGCCGCCUCGUACGUUUACGUGGCGGCGACGCAGGCGCACACGGGGUCGAUGGAUGAGGUGAAAGAGGCGUACAAGCACUUCCAGAACGCUGCCGGCUACUAUGAAAUGGUCACCUCGAUGCUGGAUCGUCUGCCACCGGACCAGCUCACGAAGGGCGACAUGAAGCGGGACUCGCUGGCGAUGCUCACGCGGCUGUGUCUCGCCCAGGCUCACCACUGCGGCUACCUCAAGGCAGAGGAGACGAUGAAAGGAAAGCAUGAUAUGCUCUCCAAGAUUGCCGCGGAGGCGGCGAAGCAGUAUGAGGACGUUCUCUCCUCCUUCAAGACCUCGGUGUGGCUGACGAAGAGGACGGCCAACGCGAAGGAGGUCGAGGCCCACCUCGGCGCCGACGUCUGCAUCUUCAAGGCGCGCGCCCACCUUCACCUCGGCGUCAAGAAUGCGGAAGAAGGCGAAAUGGGCGUGGCCAUCGCGCACUACCGAAAGGCAAAGGCGCACCUAAUGAAGCUGCCCCGCAUGACGACGCAGUCGCUGACGGUGUGGGUCAACAGCAUCGUCACCAGCGCCAACACGGCCGAGGACAAGGCGGAGAGAGCAAACACGUCCGUCUACUUCGCCCGCAUUCCGAAGGAGGUACCGGAGCCGGAGGGGUUGCCCCGCGCACUUGGCAUCGCAACGGAGCACCCGAGUUUUGUGCGUUUUGUGUCGACGCGCGGCGAAGACCCCUUUUUCGGGAUUGUUCCCGCGCACAUCGCGAAGACAGUGAGCACCUGGCGCGAGAAGCAGCGCAACCUGGUCAAUGUCUGCACCGCCGCCGCCGCCCACGCGCGCAAGAGCACGCAGACGAAGUUGCAGACAUUGGGGGUGGUGGCGGCCAUUCAAGCAAUGUCUGGCGAGUUCGAGGGUCGCGGCCGCGUGCCGGAGCCGCUACGCUCGAGCAUUCUGAAGCUGCGCGAGGAGAACAAGAGCCAAAGUGGGGCCACCUACAGCGUGACUGACAUCCUCAUGAGCAACGUGAACACGUGCAGUGAAAUGUACCAAGUCGCGGAUAGCAAGCUGAAGGAGGUGAGCGCGGAGUUGGAGAAGGACAAGAUGACGGAUAGGCGCUAUGUCGAGGCUUAUGGGGAGAAGAUGUGGCGUGCCGUGCACCCCGCCGCCGACCAAACACCGGACUACUGCGCCAUCUCGGCCGCCAUCAGCGAGCACGAGAAGGGUCUGCAGCAGUGGUUAGUGACGCCGUUCAACGAGGCGAAGAAGACACUAGAGGAGAACAUGCGCAAUAUCGCACGCCUGGACUGGCCGAUCGCCGAUUUGGACGCGCUGAUGCCGUUCGUGGAGACGAAGGAGGCACGCCAGCAGUCAGGCAAGGUCAUGGAGUUAGUGGCGAAGUUGAAGGAGUUAGUGGAGGCAAAGGUGCGCAUUGAAAGCGAGCAAGCGGCGGAGGAAAAGGUCCUGCACGAUAAGCUGGAGUCUGACGACGUCGUUUUCGGAAUUUCCUCCGUCGAGUCGACGCAGCGCGACACGAUACUGGAGAAGGCCUCCAAAGACAUCUCGGACGUGAUCGAGAAGGUGAACGAGAAGGUGCGGCAAGAGCGGGAGCUGGUGCCCAAGGCCGAGGAGUUGAUGGAGCAGAUUGGCACUCUACAGAGUACUGACCCUAUCUCUGCAGAAAUUCAGAAGGUGUCUAACGGGCUCGAAAACGCUUGCUCCAUCUAUCAGGAGCUCAUGAAGGACUUCGCUAGCAUGGUGCAGUACGGCUCCAAGGCCGUAGACGAGAUCGAGGCCACUCUCAGAAACGCCAAGUCCUACACGAUGAGUCGCGAGCUUCAGGCGCAGGAGGUGCAGAGCCGUCUGGAUGAGCAGAUCGCGGCGAAGAUGAGUCAGAUGCAAGACGCGGAGAGCCAAAUUGCCGAAUCGCGGCGGCGCCAAGAAAUCCUACAGCAGCAGAUUGCCUCGCUGGAGCAGCAAGUGACGCAGCAGCCCGCAUACCAGUACCCACCGGCGCCUCUGCACCAGCAGCUACCUCAGCCACCGCAGCAGCCGUACCAGCCGCUGUACCAGCCGCCGCCACAGCAACACGAGUACCACCGCAUGGCCCCAGCACCGUCCGCGGCAUACCAGUACCCUCCCCCGGUCAUGCAGCAGCCACCGCUUCAGCAGGAGCCGCCUCUUCCGCCGUCGUACGAUCAACUCAGCAGCAUGGCCUCCGUACCAGUGGCACAGCCACCACCACCACCACCGCAGCAGACGAAUGCGUACCAGUAUCCACCGCCAUCACUGCAGCAACCUGUUAACUCAGGCUGUCCCUCGUACAAACCGCCAUUUACACUCUAGACAGUGCAUGCGCAUGGAACCUCCCCCCUCGCGCUUCCUCUGCCUCUAGCCACAAGCAUGCAUGCAUGUGCACGCUCGGCUCACAUGGUGCUGUGUGCCUUAUUCACCUCGCCCCUCGACACUUCCUUUGCGGUUUUCCUUUUCGCGUUCUCUCUCGCUCUUGAUGAUGACGGCCACCUCAGUCCGUGACAUCACAGGGCCCAGUACCCGCUCUUUCUGGGGAAGUCAAGCAGCCCGCACAGUCUUCCCUCGGGGGUACGGACUGGCGGACUCGUGGCGCCGGCGGACAGGUCGUUGCUGGCGCCGUGCCGAAGAGACGUGUGACCAUGGUGAUCACGCUUGUGCCGGCUCACUACGCAUCGUGUCGACCAUUUCAACAGGUGUACACACCCGCCUGCUGUUUUUCGGCAUUCGCGGCGUUGCAGUGAUGUCGAGCGUCGUUCUGGGCUUAGCCUGCGGUGUACGCAGUGGCAUUGCGGUGGGCUGAGCGGCGCCAAGCGGUGUUGGUCGGCCCUGCUGCUUGGCAUAGCCGUGGUGCAGCAGAGGCAAGGUGAAGCCGUGAUUGUACGUGCGUAUGUCUGCUGACUUGCUCGUAUUUGGGAUAUAAUGGGCACGUUGAAGAAGGCAAGCCAAAAAGAAAGGAACGGUCUCUUAGCUCGCGAUCGCCGGCCGUCAUUCAACGGUAGGCGCCUCAGAGGAUCACCGUGACGGUGGGGGUAGCGUCGUCGUCUCUUGUGACCUUCGUCUUUUUGUUUUUUUUUUGUUUGUGCGGGCUCGUGAGGAGAUGUCGCCGUCACCCCUCCCCAUCCCACCACCACCAGUCAACUGUAUCUCCAUCUCAGGCUGCAGAUUAUCUGCGAAUGGUUGUGGGAAUGUAUGUGUAUGUUUCUGAAGUCUUCGCGGCGGCGCACGCAUCGUUUUCAGCUCGUCAGCUGACGUCACGUCUCUUCUCUCUUUUUUUUUCGCCCUUCGCCAUGACCGCGUGCUGUUCUGCCCUCCACACGCACCUCACCCUGUCUCUCUCUUCUCUCUUCACUGUCGAUUGUGUGGUUGCUAGCGUUUUAUCCAUCGCGGUUGUGUGCUUCUGUGUCCCGCGCACCCUCUCGCUACUUUCCGCAGUUGUUGUAGUUCCCACCCAAACGCCGAAAAGAAGCAGAGCCGAGCACACGUCCCAUACUGCAGCUUACUGAACCCUUCUCACUGUGAAUAUUUCUGCGUCCUUGAUGCGCUGCACCUCGGCGGCCUCAUUUUAUGUUGCUACUAUCACGCAUGCAGCUGUGCGUGUGGCACACGCGCAAGAAUACAUCCGCUGGCUAAGGGAAAUGCGUGUGUUCUCGACUAUCUGCUUGCUUUUAAACGCACAUGCACACACAUCCCACUCUGCCCACCCUCCGUCUCUCGUGUGCCACGUAUACCUGCUCGCCUUUUCUUUGUUGUUGUUUGCUUGUUUGAUGUUACCGUUGGCAGUCUUUGAUGUAUGCGAAGGGUUUCUUGACGGUCACGCAAUCAUGUCUUCUGUGCACAUCUGCUUGCGCGGCUAGUCAUCGCGUCGAGGCGAGCUCUUCGCAUCUCCCACACCCUUGUUGUUGGCGUCUUUGUAUGUGGGUCUGUAUGCGCGGGCGUGUUCUCACUGCCCCUCGUCGCUCUUCUUCGUUCUCGGUGCUGGAGCGCCCUGCGCCAUCACUCCUCGUGCCGUCCUUCUUAUAUCCAUGUUACCGUUGGGCUGAUGGACUGGGGUGGAGUGGGCCCGCUGCGUUGUUGGCGUCAUCUCUCUGUCUCUCUCCCCCUCGAGAGGAAGAGAGAGACAGAGAGACAACAUGAAUAAAGCAGGCAAAUGUGUGCGUUGGUUUAUGUUCACAUGUGCUGCAGAGGCACGCAACAGCUCCCCUCUGCUCCUCCUCACUGUUUCGCUUUUUUCAUUUCCUGGCUAGUUGCGAUGACUGUGAAUCUUUGUGAGCCUGUGAGGGCAUGCCCGAUAUUCACUCGUGUGUGCAGGCUGCGUCGCUCGCGCCUCUUCUCCCUCGAGCAUGUGUUUGGCUGUCGCUCUUCCCUGUUUAUUCACUCACCGCUCUCCUCCUCGUCCUUUGAGCUGCAUACUCGUGUGUCUUCUGUACGUGGUGCUCACGUCUCGCUGC
rnacentral:misc_RNA from 1 species